rnacentral:misc_RNA from 1 species
UUAAGUUCAGCGGGUAUCCCUACCUGAUCCGAGGUCAACCUUGUGCGUUUAGGGUGUCGACACCGCCACGGAACCCUACAGCGAGAGAUGUACUACGCUGAGGGCCGGGGGGCGCCACCAUUGUCUUUGGGGUCGGCCAGGCGGCGCGACCCAAUACCAAGCUGGGCUUGAGGGUUGUAAUGACGCUCGAACAGGCAUGC